CCAGACUCCUACGGGAGGCAGCAGUGGGGAAUAUUGCACAAUGGGGGGAACCCUGAUGCAGCGACGCCGCGUGGGUGAAGGAGCACCUCGGUGCGUAAAGCCCUAUCGGCAGGGAAGAAAAAGACGGUACCUGACUAAGAAGCCCCGGCUAACUACGUGCCAGCAGCCGCGGUAAUACGUAGGGGGCAAGCGUUAUCCGGAGUUACUGGGGGUAAAGGGAGCGUAGACGGCAAGGCAAGUCAGAAGUGAAAAACCAAGGCUCAACCAUGGGACUGCUUUUGAAACUGUCAAACUAGAGUACGGGAGAGGUAAGAGGAAUUCCUAGUGUAGCGGUGAAAUGCGUAGAUAUUAGGAGGAACACCAGUGGCGAAGGC
rnacentral:rRNA from 1 species